UACGUAGGUGGCGAGCGUUGUCCGGAUUUACUGGGCGUAAAGGGAGCGUAGGCGGACUUUUAAGUGAGAUGUGAAAUACUCGGGCUCAACUUGAGUGCUGCAUUUCAAACUGGAAGUCUAGAGUGCAGGAGAGGAGAAUGGAAUUCCUAGUGUAGCGGUGAAAUGCGUAGAGAUUAGGAAGAACACCAGUGGCGAAGGCGAUUCUCUGGACUGUAACUGACGCUGAGGCUCGAAAGCGUGGGGGAGCAAACAGG
rnacentral:rRNA from 1 species